GAGUCAAGUUCACUUGCAGGAGCCCCAUGACGAGAUCCUUCCGGUGGGGCUCCUCCUGGGGCUUCUGCUAGUAAACUUGACUC